rnacentral:lncRNA from 1 species
AUGUUCCGACCCCUCCCCUUCGUACCCCCCGCCCCCGAUAAAGCCCCAGCUCCCCCAAGCCCCAUCAAGGGACAGGGAUACCGCCGGGGCCUCCCCUCCAUCCUCUCACCUCGCCUCCGAGGCCCUUCCGGCUCGGGGGCAUCCCCGCCGGGCCUUCUCCCCCGGGGCAGCUCGCCCCCUGGGGCCUGCUCCCUGCGCCUUCCCCACAGGGCCGCUACCCUCCCACCUCCUCCCUCUCCACAGCGGGCCCGGCCUCGCCCCUCAGCUCACCCCUCAGCUCGCCCGAGCCCUGCCCGGACUCCUCCUGCCCCCUCCGAGCGAUCCCAUCGGACCAGCCGCUCCCCUCAACCGCCCGCACCACUUCCCCUCCCCCCCACCCUCAGAACGACUCCGCCGGUCGGGGAAGAACUCGCCCAGCUCCCGGCCCCGCAGCCGGCCUCGCCGCAGGCAGCUCACCUGCAUGGACGCCAUGAUGGAUCCUCCCCCUCCCGCCGCGCCGCCAGCCCGCACCCUCACAGACGCAGCGCCGCGCGCCCGCCUGCUUCCCCGCCCUCGGCUGUCACGUGGCCACAAGGCCGCGCAUGCGCCAGGAGGAGGUCGUGCGGGCGAGUGGCGUGGCUGCCCGGGGGGUUUUGUCCUUGGUGUUGCUGCCCUCACCGCGUGGGAGGGGUGAAGAGACAGCGCUGGCCGCUGCCGGUCUCCUCCCGCUCGGGUUGCAGCCGGCGGGUGUGCCGCCUGCGGAGGGACUGCCCAGCUGAGUUCCGUCAGGCGGCUAGGCGUGAGGGAGCCGUUGGGAAGCGCCUGCUGAGCUGGGGAGCCGUGCCUCGCGGGGAUGCGCGGCUGAGGGCAGCGCUUCCGCCUGAGGGGGUUGGCUCCCGGCGGCCGGCAGGCAUUGAGUUAACGCCGGGCACCGCUCCGCUUGUGGCUGCGAGCUGCGUGCUGUGCUGUGCUGCUGACGUUGUUCCUAACGAAGGAAGAAGCUGCUCGUUACCUCCCGUGCAGCACUACCGCCUUUCUGAUUUUUUUUUUUCUUUCCCUGACGUUGUAGGGACAGGCGUGCCCAAACUGGCAAGGGCAUAUUUCAGAAGUUAG